rnacentral:rRNA from 1 species
UCUGAGUGUUUCCGUUAGAGAAAUCUUUUGGCCCUCUAAAAAUGGUGCAAAAUAGGGGUGGGCAAGUCUGGUGCCAGCAGCCGCGGUUAU